AGAGUUUGAUCAUGGCUCAGAAUCAACGCUGGCGGCGUGCCUCAGACAUGCAAGUCGAACGCGAAAGCCUCCUUCGGGGGGCAAGUAGAGUGGCGCACGGGUGAGUAACACGUAGGUAAUCUACCUUUGGAUGGGGAAUAACAACCGGAAACGGUUGCUAAUACCGCAUAAUGCAGCGGCACCUAAUGGUGACAGUUGUUAAAGCGGGGGAUCGUAAGACCUCGCGUCUGAAGAGGAGCCUGCGGCAGAUUAGCUAGUUGGUAAGGUAACGGCUUACCAAGGCGAUGAUCUGUAGCCGGCCUGAGAGGGCGGUCGGCCACACUGACACUGACAUACGGGUCAGACUCCUACGGGAGGCAGCAGUCGGGAAUUUUGGGCAAUGGGCGAAAGCCUGACCCAGCAACGCCGCGUGAAGGAUGAAAUCCCUCGGGAUGUAAACUUCGCAAGAACGGGAAGAAUAAGUAAGGGUUAAUAUCUCUUACGAUGACGGUACUGUUUGUAAGCUCCGGCUAACUCCGUGCCAGCAGCCGCGGUAAUAC
rnacentral:rRNA from 1 species